AGAGUUUGAUCAUGGCUCAGAACGAACGCUGGCGGCAGGCCUAACACAUGCAAGUCGAACGAACCUUCGGGUGAGUGGCGCACGGGUGCGUAACGCGUGGGAAUAUACACAUAGGUGAGGAAUAACGUAGAGAAAUUUGCGCUAAUACCUCAUAAUGACUCCGGUCCAAAGAUUUAUCGCCUAUGAAUUAGCCCGCGUCAGAUUAGAUAGUUGGUGAGGUAAAGGCUCACCAAGUCUACGAUCUGUAGGGGGUCUGAGAGGAUGAUCCCCCACACUGGUACUGAGACACGGACCAGACUCCUACGGGAGGCAGCAGUGAGGAAUAUUGGACAAUGGGGGCAACCCUGAUCCAGCCAUGCCGCGUGAGUGAAGAAGGCCUUAGGGUUGUAAAGCUCUUUCAAUAGUGAAGAUAAUGACGGUAACUAUACAAGAAGCUCCGGCUAAAUUCGUGCCAGCAGCCGCGGUAAUACGAAUGGAGCAAGCGUUGUUCGGAAUCACUGGGCUUAAAGCGUAUGUAGGCGGACUAGCAAGUCAGGAGUGAAAUCCCGGGGCUCAACCCCGGAACUGCUCUUGAAACUGCAAGUCUAGAAUCCUGAGAGGUUGGGAGAAUU
rnacentral:rRNA from 1 species